CACAGGCUGAGGCCCUGGAGACUGGCAGACUCAGGAAGAAUACUGGAUAACUUUAAAAGGUAUCCUACUUGCGAGACUCCUCUACGCUUUCAGAUACUCCUUUUCCUCAUCUGCAAUCUUGAAGUAAAAACUGCAUUGCAGUUGGAUAUGAAACUAAAAUGGAGAAAUAUUUAGGAAGUGCCCCCGCACAGUGCCUACCUUGUGAAAAUAAUCAAACGAGGGCCAGCCUGUUUUGAGGCUCCUAGGAUAUCUAUGGAAUUCCAGAGAUGGAGUCUUACUCUGUCGCCCAGGCUGGAGUACAGUGGCGUGAUCUUGGCUCACUGCAACCUCCACCUUCCAGGUUCAAGUGAUUCUCCUUUCUCAGUUUCCUGAGUAGCUGGGACUACAGGCAUGUGCCACCACACCCACUAAUUUUGUGGAUUUUUAGUAGAGAUGAGGUUUCACCACGUUGGCCAGGCUGGUCUUGAACUGACCUCAGGUAAUCCGCCCCCCUCAGCCUCCCAAAGUGCUGGGAUUACAGGCAUGAGCCAUCACGCCCGGCCCUCACUUGUUUUCAUGGACCUAG
rnacentral:lncRNA from 1 species